rnacentral:rRNA from 1 species
GAUGAACGCUGACAGCAUGCUUAACACAUGCAAGUCCACUUGAACUUCGGUUUGGGUGGCGGACGGGUGAGUAACGCGUAAAGAACUUGCCUCACAGCUAGGGACAACAUUUGGAAACGAAUGCUAAUACCUGAUAUUAUGAUUAUAUGGCAUCGUAUAAUUAUGAAAGCUAUAUGCGCUGUGAGAGAGCUUUGCGUCCCAUUAGCUAGUUGGAGAGGUAACAGCUCACCAAGGCGAUGAUGGGUAGCCGGCCUGAGAGGGUGAUCGGACACAAGGGGAGAGAGACGCGGCAGGGACAGAUGGGGGGGACAAGAGUGGAAUAUUGCAGAAUGGGGGGAAAGAGGAUGCAGCAACGAUUCGGUGGGAAAGAUGAAAUUUGUGGGAAAAAAAGGUGCCUUCAGUGAGGAAGAGAGACUGGCGGUAACGAAAAAAAGAAGAGCGGCUAACUACGUG